rnacentral:rRNA from 1 species
UUGAACGCUGGCGGCAUGCCUUACACAUGCAAGUCGAACGGUAACGCGGGGCAACCUGGCGACGAGUGGCGAACGGGUGAGUAACGCAUCGGAACGUGCCCAACAGUGGGGGAUAGCCCGGCGAAAGCCGGAUUAAUACCGCAUACGACCUGAGGGUGAAAGCGGGGGACCGUAAGGCCUCGCGCUGUUGGAGCGGCCGAUGUCAGAUUAGGUUGUUGGUGGGGUAAAAGCCCACCAAGCCGACGAUCUGUAGCUGGUCUGAGAGGACGACCAGCCACACUGGGACUGAGACACGGCCCAGACUCCUACGGGAGGCAGCAGUGGGGAAUUUUGGACAAUUGGCGCAAGCCUGAUCCAGCCAUGCCGCGUGCGGGAUGAGGGCCUUCGGGUUGUAAACCGCUUUUGUCAGGGAAGAAACGCUCCGGGCCAAUACCCUGGGGUAAUGACGGUACCUGAAGAAUAAGCACCGGCUAACUACGU